AGAUGGCGACCGGCGCACGGGUGAGUAACACGUAUCCAACCUGCCGAUAACUCGGGGAUAGCCUUUCGAAAGAAAGAUUAAUACCGAUGGCAUAAUUAGACCGCAUGGUCUUAUUAUUAAAGAAUUUCGGUUAUCGAUGGGGAUGCGUUCCAUUAGGCAGUUGGUGAGGUAACGGCUCACCAAACCUUCGAUGGAUAGGGGUUCUGAGAGGAAGGUCCCCCACAUUGGAACUGAGACACGGUCCAA
rnacentral:rRNA from 1 species